UACAUAAUGGUGUAGGUGCACAUAAAUUUUUGGAUUUUAAGGAGAAAGAUCAGUUCUUUCUUUUGUGG
rnacentral:tRNA from 1 species